UACAGAGGGUGCAAGCGUUAUUCGGAAUUAUUGGGCGUAAAGCGCGUGUAGGUGGUUCGAUAAGUCUGAUGUGAAAUCCCUGGACUCAAUUCAGGAAGUGCAUUGGAUACUGUCAAACUAGAGUGCAGGAGGGGAAGGCGGAAUUCCAGGAGUAGAGGUGAAAUUCGUAGAUAUCUGGAGGAACAACAGAGGCGAAGGCGGCCUUCUGGACUGCAACUGACACUAAGACGCGAAAGCGUGGGGAGCAAACAGG
rnacentral:rRNA from 1 species